AUUGAACGCUGGCGGCAGGCUUAACACAUGCAAGUCGAGCGGGGUGAUGGUGCUUGCACUAUCACUUAGCGGCGGACGGGUGAGUAAUGCUUAGGAAUCUGCCUAUUAGUGGGGGACAACAUCUCGAAAGGGAUGCUAAUACCGCAUACGCCCUACGGGAGAAAGCAGGGGAUCACUUGUGACCUUGCGCUAAUAGAUGAGCCUAAGUCGGAUUAGCUAGUUGGUGGGGUAAAGGCCUACCAAGGCGACGAUCUGUGGCGGGUCUGAGAGGAUGAUCCGCCACACUGGGACUGAGACACGGCCCAGACUCCUACGGGAGGCAGCAGUGGGGAAUAUUGGACAAUGGGGGGAACCCUGAUCCAGCCAUGCCGCGUGUGUGAAGAAGGCCUUAUGGUUGUAAAGCACUUUAAGCGAGGAGGAGGCUCUUUUGGUUAAUACCCAAGAUGAGUGGACGUUACUCGCAGAAUAAGCACCGGCUAACUCUGUGCCAGCAGCCGCCGUAA
rnacentral:rRNA from 1 species